rnacentral:tRNA from 1 species
GCGGACGUGGCGGAAUCGGCAGACGCGCUAGACUUAGGAUCUAGUGCCUAACGGCUUAAGAGUUCAAAUCUCUUCGUCCGCACCA